CUGGCGGCGUCUUACCAUGCAAGUCUUCCGGGAUCCAGGCAGCUUGCUGCCUGGUGAGAGUGGCGAACGGGUGAGUAAUGCGUGACCGACCUGCCCCAUGCACCGGAAUAGCUCCUGGAAACGGGUGGUAAUGCCGGAUGCUCCAUCACAUCGCAUGGUGUGUUGGGAAAGCCUUUGCGGCAUGGGAUGGGGUCGCGUCCUAUCAGCUUGAUGGCGGGGUAACGGCCCACCAUGGCUUCGACGGGUAGCCGGCCUGAGAGGGCGACCGGCCACAUUGGGACUGAGAUACGGCCCAGACUCCUACGGGAGGCAGCAGUGGGGAAUAUUGCACAAUGGGCGCAAGCCUGAUGCAGCGACGCCGCGUGAGGGAUGGAGGCCUUCGGGUUGUAAACCUCUUUUAUCAGGGAGCAAGGCUUCGGNUGAGUGUACCUGUUGAAUAAGCACCGGCUAACUACGUGCCAGCAGCCGCGGUAAUACGUAGGGUGCAAGCGUUAUCCGGAAUUAUUGGGCGUAAAGGGCUCGUAGGCGGUUCGUCGCGUCCGGUGUGAAAGUCCAUCGCUUAACGGUGGAUCCGCGCCGGGUACGGGCGGGCUUGAGUGCGGUUAGGGGAGACUGGAAUUCCCGGUGUAACGGUGGAAUGUGUAAAUAUC
rnacentral:rRNA from 1 species